rnacentral:lncRNA from 1 species
CUGGCCGCUCCAGUCCCAUGCAACACCAGCCAGGAGCUGCCCCAUCCCAUCAUGACGGUGGUGCCUACCAAACUACAGUGGUCUCUGAGGCCCAGUCCCAGCUCCAAUCUUCCAUCAUCCCUGUCACUGGAACGUCUAGCCCCAUCUUCACUCCAAACCCCACCAUCCACACACCUAUACCCACCUACACACCUCGCUUCGCCUGCACAACCACACCCGUUGUCAUUGACACACCAUCCCCCAUCUUCCCAGGUGCACUUACCCCCACCUUUACCUGAGACAUACCCAUGGAGCAGUGUUCACAGCGAAAAAGAUCAAGGCAAGAUGAAGACUCUGUGGCAGGCAGACAAGACGAUGCGCUGCAUGUGGCUGGCCAGGAAGAUCCCAGCCGGGACCUCUAACAUCCGCUGUAUCCCACGCCUGCUGGAGAUGGACGUCAACCGAGGAAGAGUCAACGCAAUGCGCACCCUGCACGCUAGGAUGACUGGAGUGCUGAAUCAGAUAUUUCUGGAUGGAGCAGAUGAGGACAGUGAUGUGGAGUAG